GCUGACGGUGUGCAUAAUACAUGCAAGUCGAACGUGUGAUGCGAAAGUAGCAAUACUUUUGCAAAGCAAGUGGCGAACGGGUGAGUAACAAGUGGACAAUCUGCCCUUAAGAUCGGGAUAAUUAUUCGAAAGGAUAGCUAAUACCGAAUGUUUUAUAUCUUUCGAUGAUUGAUAUAACAAAGGAAGCCGCAAGGCCUCCGCUUUUGGAUGAGUCCGCUGCCUAUUAGCUAGUUGGUAAGGUAAUGGCUUACCAAGGCUAUGAUGGGUAGCCGGCCCGAGAGGGUGUCCGGCCACACUGGGACUGAGAUACGGCCCAGACUCCUACGGGAGGCAGCAGUAGGGAAUAUUGCGCAAUGGGCGAAAGCCUGACGCAGCGACACCGUGUGUAGGAUGAAGAUCUUAGGAUUGUAAACUACUGUCAGUUGAAGAAGAAGGUAUGAGAGUUAAGAGCUUGAUUAUUGACGGUAUUCAACGAGGAAGUCUCGGCUAACUCCGUGCCAGCAGCCGCGGUAAGACGGGGGAGGCAAGCAUUGUCCGGAAUUAUUGGGCGUAAAGAACUCGUAGGCGGUUUUUCAAGUCAUUUGUGAAAACCUUGGGCUUAACCCGAGGACUGCAGGUGAUACUGGAAGACUAGAGUACAGUAGAGGAAAGUGGAAUUCCUGGUGUAGCGGUGAAAUGCGCAGAUAUCAGGAAGAACACCAGUGGCGAAAGCGGCUUUCUGGGCUGUUACUGACGCUGAGGAGUGAAAGCUAGGGGAGCGAACAGGAUUAGAUACCCUGGUAGUCUUAGCUGUAAACGAUGGACACUAGGUGUGGGGAGUUAUCGACGCUCUCCGUGCCGAAGCUAACGCAUUAAGUGUCCCGCCUGGGGAGUACGGUCGCAAGACUAAAACUCAAAGGAAUUGACGGGGGCCCGCACAAGCGGCGGAGCAUGUGGCUUAAUUCGACGCAACGCGAAGAACCUUACCAAGGUUUGACAUCAUAUUGAAGGUAGUAGAAAUAUUGCCGCCCGCAAGGGCAGUAUGACAGGUGGUGCAUGUUGUCGUCAGCUCGUGUCGUGAGAUGUUGGGUUAAGUCCCGCAACGAGCGCAACCCUCGUCCCAUGUUGCCAUCAGGUUAAGCUGGCACUCUUGGGAUACUGCCAGUGUAAAACUGGAGGAAGGUGGGAUGACGUCAAAUCAUCAUGCCCUUUAUAUCUUGGCUGCACACGUGCUACAAUGGUCUGUACAAAGAGCUGCGAUACUGUGAAGUGGAGCGAAUCUCAAAAGACAGAUCUAAGUCCGGAUUGAAGGCUGAAACUCGCCUUCAUGAAGUCGGAGUCGCUAGUAAUCGUGGAUCAGCAUGCCACGGNGAAUACGUUCCCGGGCCUUGUACACACCGCCCGUCACACCACGAAAGUCGGAUACACCNGAAGCCAGUGGGCUAACCCGCAAGGGA
rnacentral:rRNA from 1 species